rnacentral:rRNA from 1 species
ACUGUGCUAAGGUAGCAUAAUAACCUGCUUUUUAAUUUAAAGAUAGAAUGAAAGGAUGAACGACUUAUUUAUUUUUUAAUUUUCAAAUAAUAAAAUUAAUUAAAAUGUAAAAAAGCAUUUAUGCUAAAGAAAGACGACAAGACCCUAUAGAACUUAUUACUAUAAAGUUUUGCUGGGGCAGCAUAAAAUAACAAUUUUAAAUAAACAUUCAAAAUACAGACCUAAUAAAAAUUAAACUUUAAAACAAGUUACCUUAGGGAUAACAGCAUAAUUUUACUUAAAAGAACCUAUAAAAAGUAAAGAUUUUGACCUCGAUGUUGAAUUAAUUUAACUCCAUAAAGCAAAAAUUAUAAGAGUAAGUCUGUUCGACUUUUAAAAAAUUACAUGAUUUGAGUUCAGACCGGUGAAAACCAGGUCAGAUUCUAUCUUCUUUAAUUUAAUUACAGUACGAAAGGACCUAAUCUUAUAUCAAA